UUCCUCGCCACGUGUGUGUUCCUGGUUUCCUCGUUCCAUUUGUAAUGGGACCAUGGUUUGGGCACUACAAGUCCCAGCAGCCCCAGCGUUAUAUAAGGAAGUAAUGAAGUUUGUUUGCUCUUUCGCUUCCGCUUUUGAUUUCGGGGAUGUCGUGGCGGAUUUAGAAUUUUGAAAAGAAUGAUAUAGCACUUCAAGAGAAUGGCAGCAGAUAAGCAGUUACGUUAAAUACUGCUGGAGCUUUCUUCGAGAACUGAGCAUAUGAUGCACCGAUUAAGGAGUGUUGUGGCUGGAUUAUUGCCUGACUGAUGGUUGCCUGACUGUCCCAGCCGAGAAUAGUGGAUGUUAGAGGUAUUGUGUUUAAUAUAA